UGCCAGGGCCUCCUAUUGGUCAAAAUGUUACUCCAAGGGUGAAACGCAGACAGACAGCAGAAGACUAUUGGGCGGUUCGGCCGUCAGUCAAGACGGAAGACGGAAACAGCCUGUGGGGGAGGGGGAGGGCGUGAAUGAGUAGGAGCACGUGAUAUCAUGUGAACCAAUGAGCGAGCCUUUGUUCAACCCGUGGGAAGCCAUCUUGAGAGUGGGUACGUGGCGGGUCUGAUGCAGAGAAGCGUGCAUUCUGGAGAUUGCCUCCAUAUUGCAAUCGGGCAAUGGAAGCCGUUGGCCUCCAACACGAGGGUAAAGCAAGGUGCUUCGCCAUCUUAGAACCGGGCAGAAAAUCCGGUAUUGCCCUAGCUUGCUUGUGGUCACGUGGCCAAAACUUGGACUUUCCGCCGAGUUUCUCCUGGACUAGAUCGCAAGGAGAUGGAGGCCACGUGCUUCCCAGACGCAGUCACGACUAGAUUGUGAAUCAUCUCUUUCCGUCUUUUGUCUACCCGCAGCAGCCGAGCUCCACCUACGUUGCAGAAAUGGGGAAACCAAGGAAACGAACCGCCGAGUGGGUGGCUCUGCCUGUAGUUGGGGAAACGAGGCUACAAAGUAUCCAGUUGCAUUCCCAACAAAUAAACUCAGGAGCCGCAGGGUGCACUGGAGGGACAAAGCCCCGCCCUCCGGUACCUCACCCCCCAGGAGCCAGGAGUCUGCCUUUCAGUCCUGGGGGGGUCGCAGAGCGAAACAGGUUCUCCAAGGCCUACUGCAGGCUAUAAAACAGAGACACUUUGGUGGGGCUUCCAAAGGCACAAACUUCGGAUUCUUGUCGGCCUGGUUAUCUGCUAAAACAAAAACAAAAAAGGCCAGUCAAGGAGGAAAAGUUUCUCCUCCGCCUUGCACGGGAGAGCACCUGUUAAGGAAGGAUCUGCAUUAUUCAGUUCUCCCACACGGUUGGCCUGCCCAGCGCCCACCCCAGCCUUGCCAGCUGCUGUUCAUGAAUGAUUGAGAUGGAGCCCAGAACUUCAGAACUCCAGAGCCACAGCCCGUUGUCAUGAUUACUGGGGGACCCAGGGAACCUUGAAGGCUGAGACCCUCCUGUCAUAACGUCACAGAAACAAGACCUGACUAGCCUGGACCACCACACCCUGCUGCUUGUGUGUGAAUUAUAAGGUUUUUUUGUUUUUGGUUUUUUUUUUUUUUUGAGACAGGGUUUCUCUGUGUAGCCCUGGCUGUCCUGGAACUCACUCUGUAGACCAGGCUGGCCUAAGACUCUCAGAGAUCUGCCUGCCUCUGCCUCCCAAGUGCUGGGAUUAAAGGCGUGUGCC